rnacentral:lncRNA from 1 species
CUGUAAUAAGAGAAAUGAACUGUUUGCAGUAAUAAAAUUUUACUUUGCUAGGGAAAAAAACCAUGCCUUCAUUACAUUGUACAUUUUAUUAAUUUUGGUUUCCGGGGAUUCCACCUAUUUACUCUUUGAUUUUUUAUUCUUCGGGGCUUUCUUGUUUACUGAGGAAAAUGUUGCGGUUAUUGAGAAAAUGGAAUUAUGAUGUGGUGGGUAUUGAGAAAAUGUUGAACUAAUUUUAUUUUCAAGUCUCUUUUACAGUUCAAAUUUUCUCUCUGCACUGAAGCCCACAUUGCAUAUUUGCAUUAUAUGAUGUGAAGAAAUUACGGUCCAUAAACAUAACCCGAAUAAUUUUGGUAAUUUAGGAUUGAAAUUUGCAGUUUUUGGUAAUUUACAUGGUAAUUUAGGUUUGAAAUUUGCAAAUUUUGAGAGGCUUAGCUUGGGUUUAUACUAACUAUUGGUGAGUGACUGGGGAAAUUGCUUUUUAAUUUUCUAUUUUAAUUAAUAGGAGUUGAAUAUUGUUGUUGUCUAAAUAGUGAUUAAUGGUUUGAUUGGUUUGCAGCUGGAGAGUCUUCCUGCUAUGAUUGCUGGGAUUUGGUCAAAUGAUAGCAAUUUGCAGCUAGAAGCAACUACUCAGUUUCGUAAGGGAUGGGAAUGAACUAGAAGAACAGCUGUUUAUGGCUAUCAACAAGCAGAAGAUGGAGAUGAUGUUAGAAGAACUUGAAGGUGAACAUGACGAGAUAAUGUUAAAUCUUUAUUCUUUACAUGUCUACAUUUUGAGGGAAAGUGUGUCAAAUUAUACAUCUUGGUACCUUCAAAAGAAAUAGAGCUGAAUAUUUAGAUGGGAGUAUUCGUUAUCUUUGUUGUUGUUCAAACCAAUCUAGAUGUUUUUUUACAUAUUUUGUUAGUUUGUUAUGGGGGACUAUGAAAGAAAUGCAAGAAUUGUAUUUUCGACAGCGUGAGCUAAAAUUGAACAAAGGCAAAAAUGUGUUUUCUCCAUCUAUGA